UUGAUGCAAAAAAACAAAAUUCUAUACAAUCAAUCAAUGAUGAUGAUGGUGGUGGUGGUGGUGAAAAAACAUUCGAUCCACCGAUUGAUUCAUCUGACACUUGUAAUAUUUCAAAUGAUGAAAAAUUGGCAACAAAAACAAUAGCAAAGAAAUCGAAAAAAGCAAAAGAAGUGAUUGUCGAAGACAUAAUCGUUGAAACAAAAGAACAACAAGAUGAGCUUAUUGCACAGCAAAAACAAAUUGACGAAAACGAUACCACCACCACCACCACCACCACCACCACCACCAUCAAUUAUCAUGAAAAGGAGGAGAAAAUAAAAAAACCUCAAAAUGAUAAACCGAAGAAAAAACAAAAACAAACCAAACAGGAAACAGUGGAAACUAAAACAGCAAAAACAUCCGAUUUUAAAACUAAAACUAAACGAGAAAUCAAUGUUGAAGUAGCCAAUCAUGAUCAAUCGAUUGAAUCUUCUUCUGUGGAACAACAACAACAAGUUGAUGGUCAAGAACAAGCU